rnacentral:rRNA from 1 species
AUACGGAGGAUCCGAGCGUUAUCCGGAUUUAUUGGGUUUAAAGGGUGCGCAGGCGGCCAUUUAAGUCAGCGGUUAAAUCGUGGGGCUCAACCCCAUUCUGCCGUUGAUACUGGGUGGCUUGAUUGCGGUCGAGGUUGGCGGAAUUCGUUGUGUAGCGGUGAAAUGCAUAGAUAUGACGAAGAACACCGAUUGCGUAGGCAGCUGACCAGACCGCAAAUGACGCUCAUGCACGAAAGUGCGGGGAUCGAACAGGAUUAGAUACCCUGGUAGUCCGCACAGUAAACGAUGAAUACUUGUUUUCGGCGAUAUAAUGUCGGAGGCAAAGCGAAAGCGAUAAGUAUUCCACCUGGGGAGUACGCCGGCAACGGUGAAACUCAAACGAAUUGACGGGG